GGAACCCGCUAGCGCCCCGGUGUCUCCCGGGGGUGGGGAGGUGGUUUCGUGAGGAGGAUUUGAGGUUAGCUGCCAAGAUUGAGGAUUCCUCGCUCCUCUUUCUCUCUUUCCCCUCUGUAGUUUUAAGCUAUAAGAUUAAUCAUGAGUGACCAAAUCAAAUUCAUCGUGGACAGCCUCAAUAAGGAGCCUUUUAAGAAGAACUAUAAUUUAAUCACAUUUGAUUCUUUGGGACCAAUGCAACUAUUACAAGUUCUCAAUGAUGUCCUGGCUGAGAUAGACCCCAAGCAAGACGUUGAUAUCAGAGAGGAGACGCCGGAGCAGACAGCCAAGCGCAUGUUGAGCCUUCU
rnacentral:lncRNA from 1 species